GGAUGCCGAGAGGUGAAAUGAAUUUCGCCUGAGGAUGAGCCCGCGUCUGAUUAGCUAGUUGGUGGGGUAAAGGCCUACCAAGGCAACGAUCAGUAGCUGGUCUGAGAGGAUGAUCAGCCACACUGGGACUGAGACACGGCCCAGACUCCUACGGGAGGCAGCAGUGGGGAAUUUUCCGCAAUGGGCGAAAGCCUGACGGAGCAACGCCGCGUGAGGGAUGAAGGCCUCUGGGCUGUAAACCUCUUUUCUCAAGGAAGAAGACCUGACGGUACUUGAGGAAUAAGCCACGGCUAAUUCCGUGCCAGCAGCCGCGGUAAUACGGGAGUGGCAAGCGUUAUCCGGAAUUAUUGGGCGUAAAGCGUCCGCAGGCGGCCUUGUAAGUCUGUUGUUAAAGCGUGGAGCUCAACUCCAUUUAAGCAAUGGAAACUACAAGGCUGGAGUGUGGUAGGGGCAGAGGGAAUUCCCGGUGUAGCGGUGAAAUGCGUAGAUAUCGGGAAGAACACCAGUGGCGAAGGCGCUCUGCUGGGCCAUAACUGACGCUCAUGGACGAAAGCCAGGGGAGCGAAAGGGAUUAGAUACCCCUGUAGUCCUGGCCGUAAACGAUGAACACUAGGUGUCGGGGGAAUCGACCCCCUCGGUGUCGUAGCCAACGCGUUAAGUGUUCCGCCUGGGGAGUACGCACGCAAGUGUGAAACUCAAAGGAAUUGACGGGGGCCCGCACAAGCGGUGGAGUAUGUGGUUUAAUUCGAUGCAACGCGAAGAACCUUACCAGGGUUUGACAUCCUGCGAACCCCUGAGAAAUCGGGGGGUGCCUUCGGGAGCGCAGAGACAGGUGGUGCAUGGCUGUCGUCAGCUCGUGUCGUGAGAUGUUGGGUUAAGUCCCGCAACGAGCGCAACCCACGUCUUUAGUUGCCAGCAUUCAGUUGGGCACUCUAGAGAGACCGCCGGUGAUAAACCGGAGGAAGGUGUGGAUGACGUCAAGUCAUCAUGCCCCUUACAUCCUGGGCUACACACGUACUACAAUGCUACGGACAAAGGGCAGCAAGCUCGCGAGAGUUAGCAAAUCCCAUAAACCGUGGCUCAGUUCAGAUCGUAGGCUGCAACUCGCCUACGUGAAGGAGGAAUCGCUAGUAAUCGCAGGUCAGCAUACUGCGGUGAAUACGUUCCCGGGCCUUGUACACACCGCCCGUCACACCAUGGAAGUUGGCCAUGCCCGAAGUCGUUACUCCAACCCUUGUGGAGGAGGACGCCGAAGGUGGGGCUGAUGACUGGGGUGAAGUCGAAACAAGGUA
rnacentral:rRNA from 1 species